GGAAACCGAGGGAGCUCAUAAACUUUCCGUUCUUGGAAAUCUUCACAAAGAAGCAAGACACGCUUAUUCAGGAACAAACUUCUUGGAUGCAAGAUAUAGGACAAGAAGUGUCAAGGGAAGCCUGCAAGUACAACCCUUUAUAACUGAAUAUUGAAGAAAUGGGAAUUUACAUUCAGACCUACAGAGAAAAUCUUCCACUUUUAUCUUCAACUUCCAGGUCUACAUGAUCAUUGUCCUGGCUAGUGCAGAUCUGCAGCAUCUGGGCGGCAGGGGUGUGGACUUUGGGAAGGAGAAGGUGCCCAAGUAGCUGCUGCUACUUUCACCUUUGCCCUCAGCUCCGGCCCUGCCCAGUCCUGCACAGUAGCAAUGGCUCCUCUGGCCUUUGGACUCUCGACUCCAUGGAAAAGGAAGUUCUUGACAGGAUAUCAGAAAAACUGGCCUGAGGUCACGUGGAUGUUACUUUGUGCUGGUGCUUGGUACCAAGCCCCCUGAGGAGACUCCCACCCUCCACCCCUGCUUCACAGCACUCUUCAGAUGCUUUGGUGAGUUUUUCCUGAUAUCUGGAUAUCCUUUUAUUAAGUAAUGGUCUGUCACUUUUA